CUAUGAAGCCUCAAAUCAAUUGCUUUUCUGUCUUGUCCCUCCUUGACAUGAGAAAACUAUAAUUGGAUUUCCUUGUGGCGUUCUGGAAGGGCAGGGAAAACAAAUGGUGGUCGAGAAGGUAUCUCAGUCACCUCUGUCUGCUUCCCUGUUGCUCACCUCUGUCUUGUCUGUAUAGAAGGGAUCAUUAACUAUUUGUGGAAUCAUUAACGGCCAAACAAAUGAACAAGUCAAUGAAUGCCUGAAAAAUUAGGUUAAGUAAUCUUAGGAUGGGGUUAUGAAACGGUUUUGUGUCUUGCUUCUCACCUACAUUUCCAGUUUCAGUUUGGCAGGAAACUUGUUUUUCCUUCUAUUUCCCUCAGUGCCUUACAAGUCUUAUGCACACAGUAGUGCUCAAUAAAGAGCCAUGGAAUGAACAAUGUAUUACUUAAAGUUGGGUUCUGUAUUCAAUUUGUUAUUAUCCAGGGGCCGAUUUAAUAUAUUUACAAAUCAUCCCAAACUCUCUGUUCCUCUUCCUCCUCUCUGUCUGCAAUUCCUCUCCUUCAUAUGGUUAAAGAGACGUCAACAUGAAGGAGCUAAUUUUCCCACUUGGAGGAGUGGAUCACAAAGUGGCAUCCUGUAAUUCUGCAAAAUAAUUUAUGCUGAGAAUGGGCAAUAUGUGAAGAAGAAAAGGGCAGGCGCUUGCAGCAAGAAGGCUCUUCCGGACGUGUCAUCCGACAAAGAGCUGGCAUGCAAAGGUCUUCUCGCUAUUUUCAGGCAUCCCACAUGCUAAUUAAAAUGAGUGGUAUUGUCA